rnacentral:rRNA from 1 species
UACGUAGGCAGCGAGCGUUGUUCGGAAUUACUGGGCGUAAAGAGUGUGUAGGCGGUGUUCCCAGUCUGUUGUGAAAUCUCCCGGCUUAACUGGGAGGGUGCAGCGGAAACUAGAAUGCUAGAGGGUGGGAGAGGUAAGCGGAAUUCCUGGUGUAGCGGUGAAAUGCGCAGAUAUCAGGAGGAACACCGGUGGCGAAGGCGGUUCUCUGGGCCUUACCUGACGCUGAGGAGCGAAAGCGUGGGGAGCAAACAGG